rnacentral:rRNA from 1 species
AUUGAACGCUGGCGGCAGGCCUAACACAUGCAAGUCGAGCGGAGCGGCGGACGGGCGAGUAAUACCUAUGAAUCUGCCUGGCAGUGGGGGAUAACGUUCGGAUACGGACGCUAAUACCGCCUACUCUCAGAUGAGCCUAGGCCGGAUUAGCUAGUUGGUGAGGUAAUGGCUCACCAAGCCUACGAUCCGUAACUGGUCUGAGAGGAUGAUCAGUCACACUGGAACUGAGACACGGUCCAGACUCCUACGUGAGGCAGCAGUGGGGAAUAUUGGACAAUGGGCGAAAGCCUGAUCCAGCCAUGCCGCGUGUGUGAAGAAGGUCUUAGGAUUGUAAAGCACUUUAAGUUGGGAGGCGUUACCGACAGAAUAAGCACCGGCUAACUCUGUGCCAGCAGCCGCGGUAAUUC